GUAGGUGGCAAGCGUUGUCCGGGAAUUAUUGGGGCGUAAAGCGCGCGCAGGCGGUCCUUUAAGGUCUGAUGUGAAAGCCCACGGGCUCAACCGUGGAGGGUCAUUGGAAACUGGGGGACUUGAGUACAGAAGAGGAAAGCGGAAUUCCAAGUGCAGCGGUGAAAUGCGUAGAGAUUUGGAGGAACACCAGUGGCGAAGGCGGCUUUCUGGUCUGUAACUGACGCUGAGGCGCGAAAGCGUGGGGAGCAGACAGGAUUAGAUACCCUGGUAGUCCACGCCGUAAACGAUGAGUGCUAAGUGUUAGGGGGUUUCCGCCCCUUAGUGCUGCAGCUAACGCAUUAAGCACUCCGCCUGGGGAGUACGGCCGCAAAGGCUG
rnacentral:rRNA from 1 species